AUGUCUGGGAAACUGCCUGAUGGAGGGGGAUAACUACUGGAAACGGUAGCUAAUACCGCAUAACGUCGCAAGACCAAAGAGGGGGACCUUCGGGCCUCUUGCCAUCGGAUGUGCCCAGAUGGGAUUAGCUUGUUGGUGGGGUAACGGCUCACCAAGGCGACGAUCCCUAGCUGGUCUGAGAGGAUGACCAGCCACACUGGAACUGAGACACGGUCCAGACUCCUACGGGAGGCAGCAGUGGGGAAUAUUGCACAAUGGGCGCAAGCCUGAUGCAGCCAUGCCGCGUGUAUGAAGAAGGCCUUCGGGUUGUAAAGUACUUUCAGCGGGGAGGAAGGGAGUAAAGUUAAUACCUUUGCUCAUUGACGUUACCCGCAGAAGAAGCACCGGCUAACUCCGUGCCAGCAGCCGCGGUAAUACGGAGGGUGCAAGCGUUAAUCGGAAUUACUGGGCGUAAAGCGCAC
rnacentral:rRNA from 1 species